rnacentral:rRNA from 1 species
GUCUAGCGGAUGACGGGAGCUUGCUCCUUGAUUCAGCGGCGGACGGGUGACUAAUGCCUAGGAAUCUGCCUGGUAGUGGGGGACAACGUUUCGAAAGGAGCGCUAAUACCGUAUACGUCCUACGGGAGAAAGCAGGGGACCUUCGGGCCUUGCGCUAUCAGAUGAGCCUAGGUCGGAUUAGCUAGUUGGUGGGGUAAUGGCUCACCAAGGCGACGAUCCGUAACUGGUCUGAGAGGAUGAUCAGUCACACUGGAACUGAGACACGGUCCAGACUCCUACGGGAGGCAGCAGUGGGGAAUAUUGGACAAUGGGCGAAAGCCUGAUCCAGCCAUGCCGCGUGUGUGAAGAAGGUCUUCGGAUUGUAAAGCACUUUAAGUUGGGAGGAAGGGCAGUAAGCUAAUACCUUGCUGUUUUGACGUUACCGACAGAAUAAGCACCGGCUAACUCUGUGCCAGCAGCCGCGGUAAUACAGAGGGUGCAAGCGUUAAUCGGAAUUACUGGGCGUAAAGCGCGCGUAGGUGGUUUGUUAAGUUGGAUGUGAAAGCCCCGGGCUCAACCUGGGAACUGCAUCCAAAACUGGCAAGCUAGAGUACGGUAGAGGGUGGUGGAAUUUCCUGUGUAGCGGUGAAAUGCGUAGAUAUAGGAAGGAACACCAGUGGCGAAGGCGACCACCUGGACUGAUACUGACACUGAGGUGCGA